AGCCGCGCAAUGCGGGCAUUCAACUUGCGAGCAAGUGCUGUCGCACCAAAUGAAAAGACCUGACCUGGGUGCAUCGCUUUCGCCAUCAACGUUGUUGGCGACGAUUGCACGUCGCUCGUCAAAGGCGCAGUCACUGCUUUCACACACAACUGCACCAACGCGGAGAAAAUUGUAUCAAGCGCCCGCGUCGCUACCGUCUUAU
rnacentral:misc_RNA from 1 species